rnacentral:misc_RNA from 1 species
AUCUGCUGCAGUUCCGGUUCGACGACGUAGACCACCGGCACGCCUGCCGUCAGGUACUCGGCGACUUUGCGAUGGACAUCGACCCAGCGGUCGGACGGAGACAGAACUUCAAAGACCGCGUCGGGUGGCGCCGUCAGGUACUCGUCCGGCAGCGGCCCGGGUGGGACUUUUGAGUAGCUGUAGAAGGAGACGUCAGCCCCCCGAACCGUAUCUGGACCACGCUCGGUGACGACGCCCGUGUCGUUCCCCAGUACGUGACCGAUCUCUCUUGCAUCUGCAAAGUUCUGCAACAAUUGCUGGAUGCGGGUACAGACCUUGCCGUGACGUGGUUUAGCGGGAGGC